UACGUAGGGCGCAAGCGUUAUCCGGAAUUAUUGGGCGUAAAGAGCUCGUAGGCGGUUUGUCGCGUCGGCUGUGAAAGCCCGGAGCUCAACUCCGGGUCUGCAGUCGAUACGGGCAGACUUGAGUGUUGCAGGGGAGACUGGAAUUCCUGGUGUAGCGGUGAAAUGCGCAGAUAUCAGGAGGAACACCGGUGGCGAAGGCGGGUCUCUGGGCAACAACUGACGCUGAGGAGCGAAAGCGUGGGGAGCGAACAGG
rnacentral:rRNA from 1 species